GUUUUCUCACGGAAUAAGCCCUGCUGUCAUGACUCUGGUCCGCCACUGUACGCACAUGGUGGCGGCUGAACGUCUGAAGUGUGGACUUGAAAUUGCACAUGGACAGUUGGACAACAGUCCACUCGUCUGGUCCAUAUGGCUGUUGUUGUUGUUUAGUCGUUUAGUCAUGUCCGACUCUCCGUGACCCCAUGGACCAGAGCACGCCAGGCACUCCUGUCUUCCACUGCCUCCCGCAGUUUGGUCAAACUCAUGCUGGUAGCUUCGAGAACACUGUCCAACCAUCUUGUCCUCUGUCGUCCCCUUCUCCUUGUGCCCUCCAUCUUUCCCAACAUCAGGGUCUUUUCCAGGGAGUCUUCUCUUCUCAUGAGGUGGUCAAAUAUUGGAGCCUCAGCUUCAGGAUCUGUCCUUCCAGUGAGCACUCAGGGCUGAUUUCCUUAAGAAUGGAGAGGUUUGAUCUUCUUGCAGUCCAUGGGACUCUCAAGAGUCUCCUCCAGCACCAGAAUUCAAAAGCAUCAAUUCUUUGGAAAUCAGCCUUCUUUAUGGUCCAGCUCUCACUUCCAUAUAUCACUACUGGGAUAACCAUGAGUCUAAAGUGGGCUUGCCUCUUAUUUCCUGAUGCCCCCCCCCGGCAUGUCUUAGUACAGAGCAUUGGUGUUGUCAACUUGCUCAACAUAAUGUCUGUGCACACACAUGCGCAAUAGAGGGAGAAAUGGGGGGGGUGUGAGUGCAUGUCAGAGAGAUGAGGAAGCAAUUGUUUAGGAAAGUGUGUCAUUCAUUACAUAUGUACAGAAUCUCAUUGUCUCCACACGGAGGGGGGGUCACCCAAUUAUUCUCUACCUAUCUGUGGAUAGGGUAAAAAGUCCAGGGGUCAGCACACUUUUCCCGCAGGGGGCCGCUCCGCUGUCCCUCAGACCUUGUGGGGGGCCGGACUAUAUUUUGGGGGAAAAUAAUAAUGAAUGAAUUCCUAUGCCCCACAAACAACGCUGAGAUGCAUUGUAAAUAAAAGGACACAUUCUACUCAUGUAAAAACACACUGAUUCCCGGACCGUCCAUGGGCCGGAUUGAGAAGGCUAUUGGGCCGCAUCCGGCCCCUGGGCCUUAGAUUGCCUACCCAUGGUAAAAACAGUGCUUUUUUCCCCAGGGGAUGCUCAAAGGUACCAGCACCUCUUUGUUUGUUGUUAAAAAGUGUGGCGCUUACUGUAACAACUUCAUGGUGAGUGCGGGACCUAUUUUUCUAGCAAAAAAAGCACUGGGUAAGAGUUUGCAGGGAAUAGGGUCCAAGUAUGAUUUGCAGGGACGCGGGUGGUGCUGUGGGUUAAACCACAGAGCCUAGGACUUGCCAAUCAGAAGGUUGGUGGUUCGAAUCCCCGCGACGGGGUGAGCUCCCGUUGCUCUGUCCCUGCUCCUGCCAACCUAGCCGUUCGAAAACACGUCAAAGUGCAAGUAGAUAAAUAGGUACCACUCCGGCGGGAAGGUAAACGGCGUUUCCGUGCUCUGCUCUGGUUCGCCAGAAGCAGCUUAGUUAUGCUGGCCACAUGACUUGGAAGCUGUAUGCCGGCUCCCUUGGCCAAUAAAGCGAGAUGAGCGCCGCAACCCCAGAGUCGGUCAUGACUGGACCUAAUGGUCAGGGGUCCCUUUACCUUUAUGAUUUGCUGACAUAGUUGACUCCAUUUUCUCACUUAGAAAUUACAUGUGACAUACAUUUUUUAAUUCAUAUAUUAAAUACACCUACACAUCCAUUGGGGAGAAAAAGUAAAACUAAACAAACACACACAAACGUUAAAAAUGGACGGAACACCUGUUUCCAGUUAAACACAGUUUUCCUUUUCCCUCCACAGCAAUAAAAAAAUAAAAACGGCUUUGGCUUUUCACUAUUUCUAUUUUGAACUGCCCUAAGUUCUUCGGGUGGAGGGCAAUAUACAAAUUUAAUAAAUAAGAAUAAGAAUGAGAAUGCUUCUUUCUCUAAAUUAAAGCAACGGGCAAACUUGGUCAGACAAAGAGAAGUUUUCUCUCUCCCCAUCAACCAUUGCAUUUCCUGAAAUAAAUGCUCCACAAGUUCUAUUGUGGGGGAAACAGCGAGAUUAAAAUGCACAAGUCAAAAUGCCGCCAGCUGCCCCUGGCUUCACCCUGACGCUGAACUUCCACAGCUGAUAAUUCAUUUGCAACCCUGAUAAUUUGCCCACAGGGCUGAGGAACUUCCUGUGGAACAGAGAGCAGCCGUUCCCCUUUCAAAGCUGCCCUAAAUUUAUAUCCAUGUUGUUGCAGCUAAGUAGAUUGUCGGAACCUCACUUUUAAAAACUUGAAGGAGGUGGAAAAGGGUCUGAUCUGACGAGAAGGGUUAAAAACAUUACUAAGCUGGAGUUACCACGAGUAAGAGACAUUGUCAAGCUGGAGUUAUCACGAGUAGGAGAUAAGGGAAAUUACAGUUAUAAGUAUGAAGAAGAGCUGCGGAAGGGCUAUGGAAGUGACUUGAGGGCUUCGGACAUAAGGUUACCUGGUUAAUAAGGACUGACAAAUCCCGGAACCAGGAGAAAGGGACGUUGGAUAAAGAUUGGACUUGUUUAUAUCUCUCUUUCUCUUUUUUUUAUUAUUAGAAUGUUUUACAAAGUUGAUGAAUGAUAGAAAAAUGUUGGAAGAAAUUACCUGGCUUUAGUAAAGAUGCAUAAAGAAUUAUGAAAGAAUAUUAUGAUCACAAGAAGCUGGUAAGGUUAAGACUUAAGUUUUAAACUUUAAGGUUUAUUUUAUUAUAGAAAGAUAGGAUUAAAUUAGUCGAGGGUAAUGUAAUGAUAGAAUUUUAUGAAACAUGGAAAGGAAAGGAUUUGCUGGGAUAAUUAAUAAUUAGAAUACAAAGGAAGGGAGGAGGAGGAGGUCUAAGAAAGAAGGCAAUGACAGUUAAGGGUCUGAAAAUAAUGAACUUGUUUUGUUUUUUCUUUAUUCUUUUUUCUGUAUUUUCUUUUUUUUGUAUUUUUAUUUUUUGUACUUUUACUCUUUGUUUUUGUGUAAUUUUUGUAUCCUUUGAAAAUUUUAAUAAAUAUCAUUAAAAAAAUAAAAUAAAAACUUGAAGGAGGCAUUUGGGCUCUACCAAAUUAUUGUCCUUAGAAAUCUAUAUGGUGUGGGGUGUGUGUGUGUGAUUUCAGUCAGUUUAGCCCCCAAGGAUGCGGAUUUUUGCCAGGAGAGAAGACAAUUAAGUGGGAUUAAGGACCAUAUGUGGGAAGUUGUGGCAUUCUGGUAACACAAGGGCCUCACUCCCAGUGGAAGGUUUUUUUAAAAUAAAAAAAUAAAUAAAAUAAAACUUGAACCAAAAGUUGACCUUCUGAAGUGGACCGAAGCCUGUCUUUGCCCUUUAGUUUAUUUGCUUUGCUUAACAAACCCAAACUUACACUGAGCUUGAACUGAGGCUUUUUUUAAAAAAGUGUGAAUUACCUCAAGUUUUGUGUUACAACUUAUACGUUUUGUUUCAUAAAAUUUAUACCAAAAUAGCCUCAAAGCAGUAAAAAAACAACACCACCCACAACAGUGGAUUUUUUUUUUUUUUAAAAAAAAGCUGAGCUAGUUUUAAUUGUUUUUAAAACUGAACUUUUUUAACCAGGACCGAGGCCUAGACCUAGACCUGCCCUAUAUCUGAAUGCUGCUUUUUAUAAUCCAGCACUGAGGCAUACACCGUGUUGGAACGGAAAGCAACGUCUAGACUAUUUUUUGUUUUAAAGUGACGCUUCCGCUAGUUAGAUCUACACUGCAGGCUUCUUGCCUGGCAUUCAGUUCCCUAACUGAACAUGUAUGCAGGAUUCGGCCCCAGAGCCUGAGUUCCUGGUUUGCUGUGUCCUUGUUACGGUUUCAGUGGAUGCUUUAGAUAUUUAUUAAAGUUUCAAAAAAUACAAGAAAUACAGAAUACAGAAAAAAGAAUAAAGUUUUU
rnacentral:lncRNA from 1 species